rnacentral:rRNA from 1 species
UACGUAGGGGGCAAGCGUUGUCCGGAUUUAUUGGGCGUAAAGAGCGUGUAGGCGGCUUUGCAAGUCCGUUGUGAAAACUCGAGGCUCAACCUCGAGACGCCGGUGGAAACUGCAAAGCUAGAGUCCGGAAGAGGAGAGUGGAAUUCCUGGUGUAGCGGUGAAAUGCGCAGAUAUCAGGAGGAACACCCGUGGCGAAGGCGGCUCUCUGGGACGGUACUGACGCUGAGACGCGAAAGCGUGGGGAGCGAACAGG